AGGUGAUUGACAUGCUCAAUAA
rnacentral:siRNA from 1 species